rnacentral:rRNA from 1 species
GUGGGGAAUAUUGCACAAUGGGCGGAAGCCUGAUGCAGCAACGCCGCGUGCGGGAUGGAGGCCUUCGGGUUGUAAACCGCUUUCACUGCCGACGAAUGUGACGGUAGGCGGAGAAGAAGCACCGGCUAACUACGUGCCAGCAGCCGCGGUGAUACGUAGGGUGCGAGCGUUGUCCGGAUUUAUUGGGCGUAAAGAGCUCGUAGGUGGUUUGUUGCGUCGGAAGUGAAAACCUGCCGCUUAACGGUGGGCUUGCUUUCGAUACGGGCAGACUUGAGGGAGGUAGGGGAGAACGGAAUUCCUGGUGGAGCGGUGGAAUGCGCAGAUAUCAGGAGGAACACCGGUGGCGAAGGCGGUUCUCUGGACCUUUCCUGACGCUGAGGAGCGAAAGCGUGGGGAGCAAACAGG